CUGGCUGCUGAUUGACUUGCUGCUGGUUGACUCGGCAGUGUCACCUGUCCCUGUCUCUCCUCUCUAGCCAUGUCCUUUUUCUUCACUCUCACUUUCCUUUCUCUGAGUGUCCUCGUUCUUUUUUCCUCAACCUUUGAAACUGAUCGAGGUCUAGGGGUGCAUCGUGGAGCAGGGCCCUCCUCUUUUUGACCACAGGACGAUGUACAAAGAUUGUGGGAAUAGCAUCUGACCUCAGCCUACUCUUGAAUUUUUUGGUCAUGACAAAUUGCUUUGCCGCAAUUUGUCUGCAUACUGACUUCAGUUUUGUUUACACACACACCUUUUUUUUUGUCUACGCACAUACAGUACAUAUCACAUGGUGGUUAAAUGCACAGUUAUAGGUAACACUGAUGACUCCCUGCAAUGUCUCACCGUGAGUCUCAGCUCCCUGGGUUUUGCAAGGAUUGCUCCUGCUGACUUGAGCCAACCAUUAUUUUCUCCUCUCUAUGUCAGCGGGGAAGCCAUACAUUCGCACACCUUUCUCUGACUGAGUGGAGCAUCCCCAUGCAGCACAGUAAACCACGGUGGAGACUAUGCAAGGACAACAUUAAAGAAAGGACACAUACAAAAUGCUUGUCAUGCUAUUAAAUUGAUUAGAAAUGUAUUCAUGAAUUGCUGUAAAUAGUUAAUUGUAUAAUUACAAUUUAAAAUAACUGUUUUCUAUUUUAAAAUGGAAUAUACUCCUGUGAUGCCAACCUGAAUUUUCAGCAUCAUUACUUUUGAAUGGCAGUGUACAUGUUUAUAUACGAGUAUGCUUAAGUUGUUUUAAACCUGAAUAUA